rnacentral:rRNA from 1 species
GACAGAGGGUGCAAACGUUGUUCGGAAUUACUGGGCGUAAAGCGAGUGUAGGCGGUUUGGUAAGUCGGAUGUGAAAGCCCCGGGCUCAACCCGGGAAGUGCACUCGAUACUGCCAAGCUAGAGUAUCGGAGAGGUUGGUGGAAUUCUCGGUGUAGAGGUGAAAUUCGUAGAUAUCAAGCAGAACACCUGCGGCGAAGGCGGCCUUCUGGACGAUGACUGACGCUGAGACGCGAAAGCGUGGGGAGCAAACAGG